rnacentral:rRNA from 1 species
UACGAAGGGGGCGAGCGUUGUUCGGAAUCACUGGGCGUAAAGGGCGCGUAGGCGGCCCUCUUAGUCGCGUGUGAAAGCCCCGGGCUCAACCUGGGAACGGCGCGCGAAACGGGAGGGCUGGAGUUCGGGAGAGGAGAGUGGAAUUCCCAGUGUAGAGGUGAAAUUCGUAGAUAUUGGGAAGAACACCGGUGGCGAAGGCGGCUCUCUGGACCGAGACUG